rnacentral:lncRNA from 1 species
AUGGAAAAAGCAAGGUGUUAUUUAAACUGUUUGGUAAAACAACAGAGACAACACUGUGAUGUCACCAGUUCCCAUGGAUUUAAUUACCAUCUCUAUGCUGAUGAUUCUCAGGUCUACCUUUCCUGCCCCAAUCUCUCUGCUGACUCCAACUUGAAUCUCCAUCUGCCUUUCAGACAUCUCAAACUGGAGGCUCUUGUCCCGGAGAGGUGGCUCUGGCUUAUCACUUCCUGUGAGCAGGCCUGUGCAACAGUUCAAUCCUGGAACUCAAGCCUGGAGGAACUCCCUCAGACAGCAUCCUUGAGAUGGUCUUGUGCCAAUAUGUUCAUGCCUCCUACUGAAAGACCAUCCUUGCUAUGGAUGAAACCAGCAACUGUAAAGAAGUCUUCACUGAAGAAAGUAAGGAACUUCAAAAGCUGGAGCAGACUUCAACCAAUGAACUAUUGAUGGCAAAGUCAACAGCCUGAGAAAGCAGAUGGGAGUGAUAAAGUUUAAUGCUCCUAGAGCUGACUGUUUGGUUUGGUUUGGUUUUUUCUCCCAAAGAGCCUGGGAGAAGAUAUAGAUAUAUAGAUAUAUAUACAUAUAUAUAUGUAUAUAUAUGUAUGUAUGUAUGUAUGAAGUAAUGAUGUUCACAGUGGUGGGAUGCUGGAUAUAUGCAUUUUUGUAUACCAAACACAUGGGGAGAAAGCUAGAGUGAAACAGAUUACCCCCACUAGAGAGGAAAGUUGAAGAAGUUUGACUACUUCAAUGUAUUUGAUUCAAAUCCAAAAUAUGCCUAAUGAACACAAUGCUGAGAUAUAAAAGCAAAAAGGAACAAUCUCUGCCCACAAGAAGCUUACAUUCAGAAGCUACCAGAAGGGAUAAGAGAUUGGAAAAAAACAAGGGAAUGCACAGAUGAAAUUAUCCAGAAAUCUACUAAAGCCAAAGUAAGAAGGAUAUACGUAUAAAAUAAGUAAAGUGCCUCAUAAUACAAAAACUUGAUAAUUAGCAAAGAAAGGUAUAGGUUUGUAGAAAUUAUUCCUAUUUUAUCUACUAAAGAUCCUCAACAGAAUUCAACCAUAAGUAUGAUAUUUAACUGAAACUCAUUUUUUUGUUUUUGCUAUUUAAGAAAUACAUCUUAUUUCUGGACAAAGGAGUGGUUUAAAUUUUUAAGCUUAUUCACUUGAAGGGAAAGUGAAUCACAGUUUCUAUCCUGUCUCUAGGAAUAAAACUCAUUGACUUUACUGAUAAACUUUUGGU